ACUAAAGUCGUGACAGCGGCGGAGGGAAGACGAAUGGUGGAAGGGUGACGCGGGAUUACGGGGCGGAAAGCGUGCGUAGGUUGUUGUUUAAGUCUGUUGUGAAAGCCCUGGGCUCAACCUGGGAAUUGCAGUGGAUACUGGACGACUAGAGUGUGGUAGAGGGUAGGGGAAUUCCUGGUGUAGCAGUGAAAUGCGUAGAGAUCAGGAGGAACAUCCAUGGCGAAGGCAGCUACCUGGACCAACACUGACACUGAGGCACGAAAGCGUGGGGAGCAAACAGGAUUAGAUACCCGAGUAGUC
rnacentral:rRNA from 1 species